rnacentral:rRNA from 1 species
CAGCAGCCGCGGGAAUACGUAGGUCCCGAGCGUUGUCCGGAUUUAUUGGGCGUAAAGCGAGCGCAGGCGGUUAGAUAAGUCUGAAGUUAAAGGCUGUGGCUUAACCAUAGUACGCUUUGGAAACUGUUUAACUUGAGUGCAAGAGGGGAGAGUGGAAUUCCAUGUGUAGCGGUGAAAUGCGUAGAUAUAUGGAGGAACACCAGUGGCGAAAGCGGCUCUCUGGCUUGUAACUGACGCUGAGGCUCGAAAGCGUGGGGAGCAAACAGGAUUAGAUACCCGAGUAGUCCCUGUCUCUUAUACA